rnacentral:rRNA from 1 species
GACAGAGGGUGCAAACGUUGUUCGGAAUUACUGGGCGUAAGCGUGUGUAGGCGGCCAGGCAAGUCGGAUGUGAAAGCCCCGGGCUCAACCCGGGAAGUGCACUCGAAACUGCUUGGCUUGAGUAUCGGAGAGGUUGGUGGAAUUCCAGGUGUAGCGGUGAAAUGCGUAGAUAUCUGGAGGAACACCGGCGGCGAAAGCGCGAGACUGGGCCAUAACUGACGCUGAGGAACGAAAGCCAGGGGAGCAAACGGG